AGGGUUUGAUCAUGGCUCAGAACGAACGCUGGCGGCAGGCCUAACACAUGCAAGUCGAGCGCGCCCUUCGGGGUGAGCGGCGGACGGGUUAGUAACGCGUGGGAAUAUGCCCUUUGGUACGGAAUAGCCUCUGGAAACGGAGAGUAAUACCGUAUGAGCCCUUCGGGGGAAAGAUUUAUCGCCAAAGGAUUAGCCCGCGUUAGAUUAGGUAGUUGGUGGGGUAAUGGCCUACCAAGCCUACGAUCUAUAGCUGGUUUUAGAGGAUGAUCAGCAACACUGGGACUGAGACACGGCCCAGACUCCUACGGGAGGCAGCAGUGGGGAAUCUUGGACAAUGGGGGCAACCCUGAUCCAGCCAUGCCGCGUGAGUGAUGAAGGCCUUAGGGUCGUAAAGCUCUUUCGCCUGUGAAGAUAAUGACGGUAGCAGGUAAAGAAACCCCGGCUAACUCCGUGCCAGCCGCCGCGGUAAUAC
rnacentral:rRNA from 1 species